rnacentral:lncRNA from 1 species
AAGUCACCCCAUGUCUCGGUUAGGCAAGAAAUGAGAGAACUAAAGCUUGGACUUCUAUGCUGACGAUGAUGAGACAGAGUACUAAACUCGCACAAUGAGGUAACCUCGUUCAUUUCUGUUUAUCUUUUGUGGCAAUCGAAUUGAGGUAGAAGGUGUAUGAUUAAUUUGUUGUGUUAGUUUCUGCAAGCGAGAGAGAAUUGUGAUUGUUUUGCUAGAGGAGAGGAGAAGGGAUGAAAGAAAUCAUAGACUCCAAUUUAGAAGAAGAUGGGGGAUUUGAUAAGGGGGCGGUAUAUAUAUGUAGUCGGAGAAGGAGGGGGAGGGUGAGGGGGGUGAAUGGCAAGUUGGUGGUGAUAUUUUGUCGUAUUUAUUUUAAUUAUUCUAUUGCUAGUUGCCAAUGUGCACUUAAUUGCCUUUUUUUUUUCUUUUUUGUGUGUGUUUCGAUGAAAUUUCAUUGCACAAGUGGGCAAAUGGAGAGGGGUGGUUGUCCCUUUGUUGAUAAUGUGGGAGGGUGAUGCCAUUAUCUCACGUCAUCCCUUCGCCAUAACCCAUGCUCGAGGUCAUCUAGAAAAAGAAUUUUUGUGUUACACAUUUGGCUGAGGUGGAGUGGUUAUGUCCAAAUAAAAGUUUCACUUUGGUAAGAACUGGGUUGUUUCUAAGCAAUGAAGCAUGAAGAACGAAGAUAUAAUUCCAAAUUAACUCAUAAUUAUUGGGGCCAUUCCUCGAGGAUUAUGGGGGCAAUUCCAUAGUAACUCAUAAUUAUUGCUCGUUGAUAUUGUAGGAUGAAUGGAAUUGACCGCAGUGGACAAGUAGGAGCGUUAUCAGACCAUUUGGCUUUAAAUAUCGCUCCGUACAAAUGGCAGCAACUUGAUUCAUCUAAAAGAAU